rnacentral:tRNA from 1 species
GCCUUCGUGGUGUAGUGGUCAGCACGCUGGGCGCGUAUUCCAGAGGUCUGUGGUUCGAGUCCUGGCGAAGGCG